rnacentral:rRNA from 1 species
CCUACGGGAGGCAGCAGUGAGGAAUAUUGGGCAAUGGGCGCAAGCCUGACCCAGCAACGCCGCGUGAAGGAAGAAGGCUUUCGGGUUGUAAACUUCUUUUACCAGGGAAGAAGAAAGUGCCGGUACCUGAAGAAUAACCCACGGCUAACUACGUCCCAGCAGCGGGGGUAAUACGUAGGUGGCAAGGGUUAUCCGGAUUGAUUGGGUGUAAAGGGCGUGUAGGCGGGAGGGCAAGUCAGAUGUGAAAACUCAGGGCUCAACCAUAAGCCUGCAUUUGAAACUGUGUGUCUUGAGUGCUGUUGAGGCAAGCGGAAUUCGUGGUGUAGCGGUGAAAUGCGUAGAUAUAACGAGGAACCCCGAUUGCGAAGGCAGAUUGCUAGACAGUAACUGACGUUGAUGCGCGAAAGUGUGGGGAUCAAACAGGAUUAGAUACCCGUGUAGUC